AAGUCGUAACAAGGUUUCCGUAGGUGAACCUGCGGAAGGAUCAUUAGUGAAUCAAAUUUCCCUGAGGCCGCGAGGUCGAGGGGUGGGGUCGAGCCCUCGUGCUCGGCUCCGGAAUCACAUCCAUAACACCUGUGAACUGUCUGUCAGGCCCAUCGGCUUCGGCCCCUGGACUUGCACUUUACAAACUUACUCUGUAACAAAUGUCGAAAAUUAUAAUCAAAUAAAACUUUUAACAACGGAUCUCUUGGCUCUCGCAUCGAUGAAGAACGCAGCGAAAUGCGAUAAGUAAUGUGAAUUGCAGAAUUCAGUGAAUCAUCGAAUCUUUGAACGCAAAUUGCGCUCCUUGGUAUUCCGAGGAGCAUGCCUGUUUGAGUGUCAUGAAAUCAUCCACCUCUACUUUGGGCUUUUGCCUGGGGUCUUGGCUGGGACUUGGGCGUCUGCGCGUGACGAACUCGCUCGCCUCAAAAUGAUUGAUCUGGACUUUGGCCUUUGGCUGGUUUGACUAGGCGUUAUAAGUUAUUUCGCUUAGGACAUCCCUCGGGAUGGCCGUCUGAAGGACAAGGUCUCGCUUCCGAGCGCUCCACGCUCGAUGAAGCAUAUUUUUGACAUCUGGCCUCAAAUCAGGUAGGACUACCCGCUGAACUUAAGCAUAUCAAUAAGCGGAGGAAAAGAAACUAACAAGGAUUCCCCUAGUAACGGCGAGUGAAGCGGGAAGAGCUCAAAUUUGAAAUCUGGUGGACUUUGCUCAUCCGAGUUGUAAUCUAGAGAGGCGUUUUCCGUGCCGGCCAAUGUACAAGUCCCUUGGAACAGGGCGUCGUAGAGGGUGAGAAUCCCGUACUCGACAUUGACCACCGGUGCUCUGUGAUACGCUUUCGACGAGUCGAGUUGUUUGGGAAUGCAGCUCAAAAUGGGAGGUAAAUUCCAUCUAAAGCUAAAUAUUGGCGAGAGACCGAUAGCGAACAAGUACCGUGAGGGAAAGAUGAAAAGCACUUUGGAAAGAGAGUUAAACAGUAUGUGAAAUUGUUAAAAGGGAAACGAUUGAAGUCAGUCGUGCCUUCUGGACUCAGCUGGUCUUCCAGUGUACUUCCAGUCGGUGGGGUCAACAUCAGUUUCGUCCACUGGAAAAGGGCGGGAGGAAGGUAGCACUCUCGGGUGAACUUAUAGCCUCUCGUCGCAUGCGGUGGAUGGGACUGAGGAACGCAGCAUGCCUUUUGGCCGGGGUUCGCCCACGUACAUGCUUAGGAUGUUGACAUAAUGGCUUUAAACGACC
rnacentral:rRNA from 1 species